GCACGGUGCCCAUUAUUGGACUGGUUUUUAGCUGCUAUGAACAUGCAAGAACAUGGAGAGAUUCUUUUAGAGCAUCUUUGAUUAUCUAAUGGAAUUCAAUUUGUUUUACAUUAUAUCUGAUAAGCUCUGAGAGAAAGAUGGACAAUUCAAUGUAGAAAACGAUAAAUGUGGCUGGCUGCCAUUUGUUUUGUAAUGGUAUAAAAUGUCAAAACAGAGUCGUUUUAUGGGAA
rnacentral:misc_RNA from 1 species